AUUGGUUUGGUCUCUAUGUUUGUUCGUAGUACUACUUGAAGUCCCUUCUUUGGAUGCAGAGUGGUUUCUCUCUGUUUUCCAUCCGUCUAAUUCCACUUCGCUUGACGUCUGGUAAAUUUCUUUUUCUCGACAUGGCGUGGGUGUAUUUUGUUUUCUAUGAUCAGUCGGUUAACACCCUUCGAACGGUUCGGUUCUUUCAAUGUUUGGAGUCUGUUCAUUACUGUCGAUUUUAUAAUACAAUUGUGCGAUAUUUGUUCUUGGUGAUUUAUAAUUUAAUUUUUACGCGUGUUGUGCUAGCGUCCAAUGAUUCGAUCUGAGUGAAAUAAUUGAAUUUAAUGAAAAAUAUAGUGGUUUGCUCGCAAUCGACGUGUGAAAUAAAGACCAUGACUUCACGUGAAUCCCAGUGCCCUUACAAUUUUUGCAUCGAAUCCAGAACGAAGGAACUCUUUCCAACUUACGAGGAGGAAUUGGUAAGUUUCUUAAAUUUUUAAUUAUAUAAAUAAAGAAAAAUGUUUUUCUUUGAAACUCUCGGUUUUCCUUAUAUCUCAAAUUUCUUUCUUCCUUUUCUAAGAUUUCGCCCAGGAUUCCUUGUAUAGCGGGUAAGCAACCCACUCGGUGUCAUCGGCCUUGUCCAGGGAUUGAUAUGCUUUGUGUGGUAUGUCAUCAAACCCAAUCGGAGGCAACUAGAGUGAGAGUUCAUCUCACUCACUCAGGAAAUAGGGAGGUAUUCUUAUCCUAUAUGCGUGCCGUCGGACGGUUGUUCUCCUAUCCGCUUGGUACCAAAUCUUUGGGUUCCAUGCCAUAUACCCUGUAUCGACUGCCCAAAUAAAAGACACGGAAAGUGCGAUGUUUGUGGUUUAGCUUUGGAUCAGACCUUUGAGAAAAUCAGAUGGGAGAAUUAUGGCCGCUGAAUUCCACGUUUCGAGUUUGUAGAGCAGCCAUACUUUUUUCGAGAUAAUCUCGUACAAUGGCGCCGUAGACAAUUGGCCUCGGGUUCUUUCGUUGCUGCUGGAUGAGGUGGAUCUCGUCUGCAUCGUCGCCCAUUUUAUUUGCGUGAUGAUAACCUUGAUUUGAUGUAAAAAGGAAAAAAUUUUUUUCUCUGUCCGUGCGCUUUAUGGUUUCAAUAUAUAUAUAUAUUAGUGCAAUUGUGUCACGCGAUACAUUGUAAUUCAA